CCGUAUUCGAUCGAAGUAUCGGUUUGUAAUAUAUAUUUAUCCAAUUCCCUUCGUUUAUAUAACAAACGCGGAAAGAGCAGGAAUCUUUGUACGUAUUGGUUGCCAAACCAAUAUAUUUUAUAUCGUAUAUCGAUGUUCGAUGUUCGUAAUAUCGGAUAUUACGAAUAAUUUCUGUUAAUUUGCUAAGAAGCUAUACGUAUAGCAGAUAUAGGAUAGAAAUUUAAUAAUUUUCUGUGUUUGAGUUACAAGGGUGAGUUCGCCGGUUAACGAAGGUGGCUAAAUGAAAAUUUGGAAUAAAAGCGUUCGGUUCGGUGCGCG
rnacentral:misc_RNA from 1 species